GCCCCGCUGGUGUAAUGGCAGCACGCCCUACCGCUAUGUGUACGCACACGACCGAGUCAUUGGGGCGGAGCUCGUUCGACUCGAGCGCGGGGCA